rnacentral:rRNA from 1 species
GGCGGCCGUAACAAUAACGGUCCUAAGGUAGCGAAAUUCCUUGUCGGAUAAGUUCCGACCUGCACGAAUGGCGUAAUGAUGGCCAGGCUGUCUCCACCCGAGACUCAGUGAAAUUGAACUCGCUGUGAAGAUGCAGUGUACCCGCGGCAAGACGGAAAGACCCCGUGAACCUUUACUAUAGCUUGACACUGAACAUUGAGCCUUGAUGUGUAGGAUAGGUGGGAGGCUUUGAAGUGUGGACGCCAGUCUGCAUGGAGCCGACCUUGAAAUACCACCCUUUAAUGUUUGAUGUUCUAACGUUGACCCGUAAUCCGGGUUGCGGACAGUGUCUGGUGGGUAGUUUGACUGGGGCGGUCUCCUCCUAAAGAGUAACGGAGGAGCACGAAGGUUGGCUAAUCCUGGUCGGACAUCAGGAGGUUAGUGCAAUGGCAUAAGCCAGCUUGACUGCGAGCGUGACGGCGCGAGCAGGUGCGAAAGCAGGUCAUAGUGAUCCGGUGGUUCUGAAUGGAAGGGCCAUCGCUCAACGGAUAAAAGGUACUCCGGGGAUAACAGGCUGAUACCGCCCAAGAGUUCAUAUCGACGGCGGUGUUUGGCACCUCGAUGUCGGCUCAUCACAUCCUGGGGCUGAAGUAGGUCCCAAGGGUAUGGCUGUUCGCCAUUUAAAGUGGUACGCGAGCUGGGUUUAGAACGUCGUGAGACAGUUCGGUCCCUAUCUGCCGUGGGCGCUGGAGAACUGAGGGGGGCUGCUCCUAGUACGAGAGGACCGGAGUGGACGCAUCACUGGUGUUCGGGUUGUCAUGCCAAUGGCACUGCCCGGUAGCUAAAUGCGGAAGAGAUAAGUGCUGAAAGCAUCUAAGCACGAAACUUGCCCCGAGAUGAGUUCUCCCUGACUCCUUGAGAGUCCUGAAGGAACGUUGAAGACGACGACGUUGAUAGGCCGGGUGUGUAAGCGCAGCGAUGCGUUGAGCUAACCGGUA